GUGGGAGGCGUUUGAAAAUUUUCUUGCGGGAAGAUUGGAGCCGUUGGUGAGAUACCACUCUAACAAUGCUAGGAUUCUAACCCUACACCGUUAUCCGGUUAGGGGACAGUUUCAGGUGGUCAGUUUGACUGGGGCGGUCGCCUCCCAAAAGGUAACGGAGGCGUGCAAAGGUUUCCUCAGGCUGGUCGGAAAUCAGUCGUAGAGUGUAAAGGC
rnacentral:rRNA from 1 species